rnacentral:rRNA from 1 species
AUUGAACGCUGGCGGCAGGCUUAACACAUGCAAGUCGAGCGGGGUGAUGGUGCUUGCACUAUCACUUAGCGGCGGACGGGUGAGUAAUGCUUAGGAAUCUGCCUAUUAGGGGGGGACAACAUCUCGAAAGGGAUGCUAAUACCGCAUACGUCCUACGGGAGAAAGCAGGGGAUCACUUGUGACCUUGCGCUAAUAGAUGAGCCUAAGUCGGAUUAGCUAGUUGGUGGGGUAAAGGCCUACCCAGGCGACGAUCUGUAGCGGGUCUGAGAGGAUGAUCCGCCACACUGGGACUGAGACACGGCCCAGACUCCUACGGGAGGCAGCAGUGGGGAAUAUUGGACAAUGGGGGGAACCCUGAUCCAGCCAUGCCGCGUGUGUGAAGAAGGCCUUAUGGUUGUAAAGCACUUUAAGCGAGGAGGAGGCUCUUUUGGUUAAUACCCAAGAUGAGUGGACGUUACUCGCAGAAUAAGCACCGGCUAACUCUGUGCCAGCCGCCGCAGUAA